GCUACGGGAGGCUGCAGUGAGGGAUAUUGGUCAAUGGGGGAAACCCUGACCCAGCAACGCCGCGUGAGGGAAGACGGUUUUCGGAUUGUAAACCUCUGUCCUCUGUGAAGAUGCUGACGGUAGCAGAGGAGGAAGCUCCGGCUAAGUACGUGCCAGCCGCCGCGGUAAUACGUAGGGAGCAAGCGUUGUCCGGAUUUACUGGGUGUUAAGGGUGCGUAGGGGGCUUUGCAAGUCAGAAGUGAAAUCCAUGGGUUUAACCCAUGAACUGAUUUUGAAACUGCGGAGCUUGAGUGGAGUAGAGGUAGGCGGAAGUCCCGGUGUAGCGGUGAAAUGCGGAGAGAUCGGGAGGAACACCAGUGGCGAAGGCGGCCUGCUGGACUCUAACUGACGCUGAGGCGCGAAAGCGUGGGUAGCAAACAGGAUUAGAUACCCUAGUAGUC
rnacentral:rRNA from 1 species